rnacentral:lncRNA from 1 species
UUUGGAAGUGUUAGAGUGAGAAUUCGUUUACUUAUAUGGAAGAUCCCAGGAGCUGCUUGUCUGUAGACUUGAAAACUUCUUUGAACUGAAAGGAACCUUGACAAUUAUCUAUGAGGAAGCAGAGCCUCAGAAAGAACAAGUCCUGUGACCACAGUCACAGGGCAGAGUUGGAACUGGAACCCACGCUUUCUACUCAGUCAGAUGAUCGCUGGUGGCAGAAUGCCUUGAAGAGCCCAAGGAUGAGGUCCUAAUGCAAGCCAAGCAAGGGCAAAUGAGAAAAGGAUCCAGGGCAGACGAGAAGACCCAAUUUGAGAAUUGGGCAGAGAAGAAAGGGCACAAUAGCCCAGAAAGCCUUCGCUCAGUCAUGGCAUGUGCCACUGCCACUCAAAAGCCACUAGUCAUGGCAAGUCACACAGACAAGGAGAGAACAUAGCAACUCAGGUGUCAACAGCCAGGGAUAAUGCAGAGGACUGCAAGUUUGGGUCCCCUCCAAGACUCAUCUGAUGCCAUUCUGCCCCUCCAUGUGGUAGUGUGAGGAGGCCUUUGGGA